ensembl:lncRNA
AGAAUUUCCCUCUGACUUGGUGAACACUGUUUGAAUUGCUGGAAUUUUUCAGAAUGAGAUUUCCAGCAAGUCUCCUCUGCAACAACAAACAUGAAGACAAAUUAUGCUCCUGGAAGAAAUGUCAGGUCAUUAACUUGAGACUUCAGACAUAUCAACUGUGACCAACAAGGCAUCAUUUUUUUCUUUUGCUUCUACUUCUACUUAGACAUGCUGGAAGCACUAGUGAUGCAUUAUUCAGCUUCCAGAUAAAUGUAGCUGCAAGCUAUGAGAAUCCAAACAUAUCUGUAUCCCUUAAAAGCAUAUUCAGAAGACAUGCAUUGCACGCUUGCCAUCAUCUCCAGUUUACCUUAAAAAGGUUACUCCCG